rnacentral:sRNA from 1 species
CAGCUGCACCUUCUCGUGCGCACCGCACGC